rnacentral:rRNA from 1 species
UACGGAGGGUGCGAACGUUGUCCGGAAUCACUGGGCGUAAAGGGUGCGUAGGCGGGUCUUUAAGUCAGGGGUGAAAUCCUGGAGCUCAACUCCAGAACUGCCUUUGAUACUGAGGAUCUUGAGUUCGGGAGAGGUGAGUGGAACUGCGAGUGUAGAGGUGAAAUUCGUAGAUAUUCGCAAGAACACCAGUGGCGAAGGCGGCUCACUGGCCCGAUACUGACACUGAGGCACGAAAGCGUGGGGAGCAAACGGG